GACGAACGCUGGCGGCGUGCCUAAUACAUGCAAGUCGAACGCUCUCGACCUUCGGGUCACAUGAGAGAGUGGCGAACGGGUGCGUAACACGUGAGAAACCUGCCCCGAAGACGGGAAUAACUCGAGGAAACUCGAGCUAAUACCCGAUGCCUCCUUGGACCGCAUGGUCCGUUGAGGAAAUGCUCCGGUGCUUCGGGAGGGUCUCGCGGCCUAUCAGCUUGUUGGUGAGGUAACGGCUCACCAAGGCAUCGACGGGUAGCUGGUCUGAGAGGACGAUCAGCCACACUGGGACUGAGACACGGCCCAGACUCCUACGGGAGGCAGCAGUAGGGAAUCUUGCGCAAUGGGCGAAAGCCUGACGCAGCAACGCCGCGUGGGGGAUGACAGCCUUCGGGUUGUAAACCCCUUUCAGCAGGGACGAAAAUGACGGUACCUGCAGAAGAAGGUCCGGCCAACUACGUG
rnacentral:rRNA from 1 species